UCUGAGUUCAUCAAGGAAGAGUGAAGCAUUCUGGGAGUCCACUUCCCUACAAGGCGCUCUACAAGACGUCUCAAAGAGACAGCAACCUCUCAAAGAUAAGUAGAAACUUCACGGUGACCCUGGAACUUUACAAUCUCUCGGGGAGUCCCCUAAAGACACAGGUCCACUGGAUUUGCCCUGUUGGAACCCACUCUGGAGUAGUCUGGAGAACACAGACUAUAAAUGCCCAAGAGACCAGCCUUGCUCACUGGAAACUGCUCACCACCUGCCCAACUGUAUGACAGACAGAAGCCGGUUUGAAAAGAAACUCACAAUUGCCAGCGUGCCCCUUGUGUGAAUCCCACGGCUGGAAGUUUUUCUGUAAAUCGGCAUCUUCAGGUCUGAGUAAGCCUUCAUGCCAGCAUCAGACACUGU
ensembl:lncRNA